rnacentral:rRNA from 1 species
UACGACUACAUAUCAGGCAUAUCAAUAAGCGGAGGAAAAGAAACUAACAAGGAUUCCCUUAGUAACGGCGAGUGAAGCGGGAAGAGCUCAAAUUUGAAAUCUUCAAGGUUUUACCUUGACGAAUUGUAGUUUAAAGAAGUGUUUUCUGUUGAAGUUUCGGUAAAAGUUCUUUGGAAUAGGACAUCAUAGAGGGUGAGAAUCCCGUAUUUGACCGUUAUUUUCAGCUGUGUGAUACACUUUCAAAGAGUCGGAUUGUUUGGGAAUGCAGUCCAAAAUGGGUGGUAAAUUUCAUCUAAAGCUAAAUAUUGGCGAGAGACCGAUAGCGAACAAGUACCGUGAGGGAAAGAUGAAAAGAACUUUGAAAAGAGAGUUAAACAGUACGUGAAAUUGUCAAAAGGGAAGCGUUUGACACCAGUGUUGUUUUCUCGAAAAUCAAUUAAAAAUGACCGGAUUUUGUGUUGUAUUGACUUUAUCAGCUUUCUGCACUUUUUUCUUGUCUUUUUUAAUGCACUUUUCGUUUAACAAGUCAACAUCAAUUUCUUUUGUUGUAAAAGAGUCAUUGGAAGGUGGCUUUCAUUUCGGUGAAAGUGUUUAUAGCCUUUGACUUCUGCAAUCGGGGAGAUUGAGGUCUGCAGCGUAGAUCCUUCGGGGUUAGAUACGUAGAUGCUAAGUUAUAGUUUUUUAUAGACAACUUGUUGACUAUAAUUAAUCAUGUAGCUUACUCGUUUGCGCUAUUUUACCUACGCUUAGGAUGUUGAACGCGCACAGAGUCUC